rnacentral:rRNA from 1 species
AGAGUUUGAUCAUGGCUCAGGAUGAACGCUGGCGGUAUGCUUAACACAUGCAAGUCGAACGGGGAACUUCGGUUUCUAGUGGCGGACGGGUGAGUAACGCGUGAGAAUCUGCCUUCAGGACGGGGACAACAGUUGGAAACGGCUGCUAAAACCCGAUGUGCCUACGGGUGAAAUAUUAAUAGCCUGGAGAGGAGCUCGCGUCUGAUUAGCUAGUUGGUUGGGUAAUGGCUGACCAAGGCGACGAUCAGUAACUGGUCUGAGAGGAUGACCAGUCACACUGGGACUGAGACACGGCCCAGACUCCUACGGGAGGCAGCAGUGGGGAAUUUUCCGCAAUGGGCGCAAGCCUGACGGAGCAAUACCGCGUGAGGGAGGAAGGCUCUUGGGUCGUAAACCUCUUUUAUCAGGGAAGAGCACAAUGACGGUGCCUGAUGAAUCAGCAUCGGCUAACUCUGAGCCAGCCGCCGCGGUAAUAC